UCAGUUAUGGAAUGAUUUAUCCUAGCAAAUUGUUGAGUUACAGGUGUGUGCGCUAUUUAUCAAAGACUACAUGCUGGCCUCGUCAACAAUGUUCAAAAUGAGCGAAGGAAAGAAAACGUUUUCCAGUUUUAAAAUAUUAAGCGUUCAUCACAACACUGCCACAAACCAACGCACUGGAUUACGCCAAGAACCUGUCGAAACGCGCGCAGCCCAGCGUCAUUACUUAACAGAAGCCGUUUCAAAACGCGCAGCUCCUGUUCAUGACGUCUUCACUAAACUGAAGCCAGCUGAACACGCGCAGCACGGAUGGUACCC